CUCAUGAAUGGACCCCACAUAAGUUGGUUCAGCUAAGAUUCACAGUCUAAUUUAAAAGCUUCUCUGCCUAUGGGAUGGGACAUAUCUCCUGUACGAUUUUACCAAUAAGAGUUUUCAAAAGCACAGGAAGAAGAUCAUGAUCAUGCCACUUAGAGAGAUCGAUGAGCACAAGAAUUCAACAGAAGCCGUGGCUGUGGAAGAGCCAUGCAUGUCCAGAGAGGCUGAUCUUCAUCAUCAGCUUCCAUGGAAAUGGAAUUAAGAAUGGUUAGACGUACGGCUUUCAGAUGAGUUCUACUGCUCUCAAUUAGCAAUAAAUACAAGGAGGCAACCAAAGCAAAAGGGGUUGAAGAAAAAGAUGUAACCCGGCAAGUCUGGUUCUUGGCUCAUGUUUACUUUUACUUUACUUGUUCGCUUCUUAAUUGUUUCUUUCUUCUGCUGUGCUGUUCUUCCCUCCCCCCAUAUGGGGAUCGAAACUCCGACUUUAUAUCUUGUUAUUAAUUUCAUUUAGUGGAACUAUGAAUUAGACCGUAUUAAUAACUUUGAGUUGUAAUUUGUUGUUAGCUUUUCCAGUGUAAUAAUUUCUUUUUUCUUUUACUAGUGGUCAUCGAUUCGUAUUUUGAA